rnacentral:lncRNA from 10 species
CAAAAUUCAUAUGAAGAAUCCAGCAAAGGAUGGGUAACUGGAGAUCCUCAGUAAGUGUUCAUUCUGUUCUCCUUUCCUUCUGUAGGCUGGUGCCACCAACAUUUGGAAUUAGCUAUCAGUUCUCUUAUCUGAAAUCGUAUUGCUUCCAGAAUGGGUACCUCUAGUUGUUUUACCAAUUCGUCACUUGCAUCAGACAGAGCCAAGUGUCACCCUCUGUGUUCCUCUCAAGCCCUCUGCUUUAUUCCUUGCUGGCAGGACCCUAAUGAUGUCAGGUGGUGAAACUGUGGCCAGUGAGCUCAAGAGAAAUCCUGGGAGGAAAAAAACCCUUUUAUCCCUGAUAUAAAAAAUGCAUGAGGAGAAACUGCCCUUCCUUACGGCCUUUCGAUAUUCCUGGGGAAAAAUGUGAUGGUUGCAGCUGCAGUAGGUUUUUGUCAUUAAUACAAAAGAUGGCAGAGACAAGACAGGAAAAACACCGACCUCCUCAGUGACAUUGCUGAGUCUGGGAAACAAUCCUGCAACCUCCUUACUGCUCUGGACUUCUUAUUGGUAAAAUAGUUUGGGUUUUUUUUUCUUUUUACAUUGAGACAGGGUCUUGUUCUGUCUCCCAGGCUGGGGUGCAGUGGCGUGAUCUCAGCUCACUGCAACCUCUGCCUUCUGGGCUCAGAUGAUCCUCCCCUCUCGGCCUCCUGAGUAGCUGGGACCACAGGCAUGUGCCAUCAUGCCCAGCUAACUUUUGUAUUUUUUUUGUAGCAACAGGAUUUUCCCAUGUUACCCGGGCUGGUCUUGGAUUCCUGGGCCCAAGUGAUCCACCCACCAUGGCUUCCCAAAGUGCUGGGAUCACAGGAGUGAGCUGCUGUGCCUGGCCUAAAACAGUUUCUUUUAAAAAUUUACUAUUGUCCCGGCGUGGUGGCUCAUACCU